UACGUAGGGUGCAAACGUUGUUCGGAAUCACUGGGCCUAAAGAGCGCGUAGGCGGUCUGACAAGUCCCCUGUGAAAGCCCCCGGCUCAACUGGGGAGGGUCACGCGAUACUGAUCGACUCGAAGGCAGGAGAGGGUAGUGGAAUUCCCGGUGUAGUGGUGAAAUGCGUAGAUAUCGGGAGGAACACCAGUGGCGAAGGCGACUACCUGGCCUGUUCUUGACGCUGAGGCGCGAAAGCUAGGGGAGCAAACGGG
rnacentral:rRNA from 1 species